CUGAGCUGUUUUCACUCAUUUCCAGUCUUAAUAGAUUGAAUCUCAGCCACAACAGUCUUUCUGGUAUCAUUCCCAUUGAAUUAGCUUCUAUGGUUGGUUUGAAAUUUCUAGGCUUUUCAGAGAAUUCUCUAUCUGGGCCAAUCCCU